CAUGCAGUGGUGUAGAGGUUGGGUGAGAACGGGACGUUUUGCAUCAUUAUCAAGAAGGUAAAAUAACCGCAAGGCUUAAGAGGAGGGGUGAGAAAAAGUCGUAUAAAAGGCGAGAGAAAAGUCGACAUGGAUCAGUCGAGCGAGUAUCUUCGACAAGGGAACAGCUGUAGUGUACUAUUUGCCGUCAGCUGCAUUCUUCAUCGUACUAUCAGUUCUCAACCAUGGUCGUACAUAAGGGCAAGGAUUAGGCGAAAGAAAUCAGUCGAGUGAGCAUCUCCGGUACGGUAACAGCAACUGCAGUGCACCAUUUGUCACCAACUGCAUUCUUCGUCGAAUUGCUAGUCAAAUCAUGGCAAACUAUGGCGUCGUGCUGCAGUUGUGUGUUGCAUCGUUGAUGGCUGGGUCGGCCACUGGUGUACCGAUGUCUCCUGGGUAUGGCGGCUAACAAAUCGAAACGCCGCCACCUUACUACACAAGAUACGGCUCGACCAGUUGCUACACCGAGGCCCCCAAGUACUGCACCAAGGCUCCAGAUUAUUAUCCUACUACUUAUGCUGCCCUGAGCUACUACACCGAAUCCCCACAGUAUUAUUCUUCCCCGAGCUACAAUACCAAAGGGUCGAUUACUACACCGAUGCUCCGAAGUACUACACCACCAAGACACCGGAGUACUGCACAACUACAUAUCAUGGAGAAAAGGCGAAAGAAAACCGUCGAGUGGUCAUCUCCGACACGGCAACAGUAACUGCAGUGCCAAGGCUCAGUAUUACACCACAAAUUAUGUUGCCCCGAGACUCUACCCCAAAGCGCCUGAGUGCUAUACCGAGGGCACUAAUUUCUACACCACCAAGGCACCGGAGUACUACACUGCAACAUACCCUGCUCCAGAUUAUUACAACGAGGCUCCCCAACACUACACCACCAAGGCACUGCAGUACUACACCACUACAUAUCAUGUAGAGGAAAGGUGAAAGAAUUCAGCAGCCGAGUGAGCAUCUCCGUUACAGCAACAGGAACUACCGUGCACUAUUUGUCAUCAACUUCAUCCUUCGUCGCAUUACAAGUUUUAAAUAAAGUAAACUUUGGCGUCGUGCUGCUGUUGGGCGUUAUAUCGUUGAUGGAUGGAUCGACCACUGGUGUGCUGAUUUCUCCUGGGUAUGGCGGGCGUGAAUAAUCCGUAGCAACCGGUUACUACACUGGGGCCUCCAAAUACUACACCUCCAAGGCUCCAGAGUAUUACACCACAACUUAUGCUGCCCCAAUGUUACUACGCAGAUGCUCCGAAGUAUUUUUCUUCCUCGAGCUUCACUACCUUCACCACGCCGCUUACUAAUUAACAACGUCAACACCUACUUACUAUAUGAAGGUCUCCAGUACUACGCCACAAAAGCUCCUGAGUAUUAAACUUGAACCUACGAUGUUCCAGCUAACUAUAAUAAUGCUCCCAUGUAUUAUUCUGUUCCCAGCUACUACACCGAGGACCUAACUUGUCACACCACUGAAGCGCCCAAGUAUUGCGCUACAACCUACGUUUCUCCAGCUUACACCACGAUGGCAGCGGAGUACUACACCACGAUGGCAGCGGAGUACAACACCACAAGCUGCUUCCGCAACUUGCUACAUGGAGGUUCCUAAAUGAUAGAGCUGAAAUUUUCAUUUGAUUUUAUUUCCAUUUGUCGGUUGUCUUCACAUUGGUCACUGAGUGAAUUGUUGAAUUUAAAUGAGAAAAUAUAAAUUCUAACGCGGGUAAUUCUUUUGUAAGACUGUUGGUAGUAACUUCAAGCCUGUCGUCAUUUGACAGGUGUCUAUUGGUGUUUCUGCAAGGCCAGUGUUUCUUCACUUCUUCAAGGCCAGUAUCCUGCGCUGUGACAUGUCUGUUUCAUAUUUUGGAGGUGACUAUUGCCUUUAUCUGCAUUCGGACAUGUUCUUGUGUUUUGACGAUGUUACAAGGGUAGGUUACGAAAGGAGGUUGCAACUGUUGAUUUGGGUAAGUCUUAUAAGUAAAAGGCAAGUGGAUGAAUUUUGUAUAAAUGAAAGAAUUUGAAGUUGAGAAAAAUAUAUUGGAACAAUUCCUAAA
rnacentral:lncRNA from 1 species